GGGUUGUGAGGUUAAGCGACUAAGCGUACACGGUGGAUGCCCUGGCAGUCAGAGGCGAUGAAGGGCGUGCUAAUCUGCGAUAAGCGCCGGUAAGGUGAUAUGAACCGUUAUAACCGGCGAUACCCGAAUGGGGAAACCCAGUGUGACUCGUCACACUAUCAUUAACUGAAUCCAUAGGUUAAUGAGGCGAACCGGGGGAACUGAAACAUCUAAGUACCCCGAGGAAAAGAAAUCAACCGAGAUUCCCCCAGUAGCGGCGAGCGAACGGGGAGGAGCCCAGAGCCUGAAUCAGCAUGUGUGUUAGUGGAAGCGUCUGGAAAGGCGCGCGAUACAGGGUGACAGCCCCGUACACAAAAGCGCAUGUGCUGUGAGCUCGAUGAGUAGGGCGGGACACGUGGUAUCCUGUCUGAAUAUGGGGGACCAUCCUCCAAGGCUAAAUACUCCUGACUGACCGAUAGUGAACCAGUACCGUGAGGGAAAGGCGAAAAGAACCCCGGCGAGGGGAGUGAAAAAGAACCUGAAACCGUGUACGUACAAGCAGUGGGAGCACAGGUUUACCUGUGUGACUGCGUACCUUUUGUAUAAUGGGUCAGCGACUUAUAUUCUGUAGCAAGGUUAACCGAAUAGGGGAGCCGGAGGGAAACCGAGUCUUAAUUGGGCGUUAAGUUGCAGGGUAUAGACCCGAAACCCGGUGAUCUAGCCAUGGGCAGGUUGAAGGUUGGGUAACACUAACUGGAGGACCGAACCGACUAAUGUUGAAAAAUUAGCGGAUGACCUGUGGCUGGGGGUGAAAGGCCAAUCAAACCGGGAGAUAGCUGGUUCUCCCCGAAAGCUAUUUAGGUAGCGCCUCGUGAAUUCAUCUCCGGGGGUAGAGCACUGUUUCGGCUAGGGGGCCAUCCCGGCUUACCAACCCGAUGCAAACUGCGAAUACCGGAGAAUGUUAUCACGGGAGACACACGGCGGGUGCUAACGUCCGUCGUGAAGAGGGAAACAACCCAGACCGCCAGCUAAGGUCCCAAAGUCAUGGUUAAGUGGGAAACGAUGUGGGAAGGCCCAGACAGCCAGGAUGUUGGCUUAGAAGCAGCCAUCAUUUAAAGAAAGCGUAAUAGCUCACUGGUCGAGUCGGCCUGCGCGGAAGAUGUAACGGGGCUAAACCAUGCACCGAAGCUGCGGCAGCGAACGUAUCACUUAAAGCGAUUCAGCGGGUUACGAUUGACGGAGCGAAGCGACGUCAAAGCGUAUACAAAGUCGAGUCGGUUUAAGGAUACGUUCGUUGGGUAGGGGAGCGUUCUGUAAGCCUGUGAAGGUGGCCUGUGAGGGUUGCUGGAGGUAUCAGAAGUGCGAAUGCUGACAUAAGUAACGAUAAAGCGGGUGAAAAGCCCGCUCGCCGGAAGACCAAGGGUUCCUGUCCAACGUUAAUCGGGGCAGGGUGAGUCGACCCCUAAGGCGAGGCCGAAAGGCGUAGUCGAUGGGAAACGGGUUAAUAUUCCCGUACUUGGUGUUACUGCGAAGGGGGACGGAGAAGGCUAUGUUGGCCGGGCGACGGUUGUCCCGGUUUAAGCGUGUAGGUGUGUGUUCUAGGUAAAUCCGGUUCACUUUAACACUGAGGCGUGACGACGAGGCACUACGGUGCUGAAGCAACAAAUGCCCUGCUUCCAGGAAAAGCCUCUAAGCAUCAGGUAACAUCAAAUCGUACCCCAAACCGACACAGGUGGUCAGGUAGAGAAUACCAAGGCGCUUGAGAGAACUCGGGUGAAGGAACUAGGCAAAAUGGUGCCGUAACUUCGGGAGAAGGCACGCUGACACGUAGGUGAAGUGAUUUACUCAUGGAGCUGAAGUCAGUCGAAGAUACCAGCUGGCUGCAACUGUUUAUUAAAAACACAGCACUGUGCAAACACGAAAGUGGACGUAUACGGUGUGACGCCUGCCCGGUGCCGGAAGGUUAAUUGAUGGGGUCAGCGCAAGCGAAGCUCCUGAUCGAAGCCCCGGUAAACGGCGGCCGUAACUAUAACGGUCCUAAGGUAGCGAAAUUCCUUGUCGGGUAAGUUCCGACCUGCACGAAUGGCGUAAUGAUGGCCAGGCUGUCUCCACCCGAGACUCAGUGAAAUUGAACUCGCUGUGAAGAUGCAGUGUACCCGCGGCAAGACGGAAAGACCCCGUGAACCUUUACUAUAGCUUGACACUGAACAUUGAGCCUUGAUGUGUAGGAUAGGUGGGAGGCUUUGAAGUGUGGACGCCAGUCUGCAUGGAGCCGACCUUGAAAUACCACCCUUUAAUGUUUGAUGUUCUAACGUGGACCCGUAAUCCGGGUUGCGGACAGUGUCUGGUGGGUAGUUUGACUGGGGCGGUCUCCUCCUAAAGAGUAACGGAGGAGCACGAAGGUUGGCUAAUCCUGGUCGGACAUCAGGAGGUUAGUGCAAUGGCAUAAGCCAGCUUGACUGCGAGCGUGACGGCGCGAGCAGGUGCGAAAGCAGGUCAUAGUGAUCCGGUGGUUCUGAAUGGAAGGGCCAUCGCUCAACGGAUAAAAGGUACUCCGGGGAUAACAGGCUGAUACCGCCCAAGAGUUCAUAUCGACGGCGGUGUUUGGCACCUCGAUGUCGGCUCAUCACAUCCUGGGGCUGAAGUAGGUCCCAAGGGUAUGGCUGUUCGCCAUUUAAAGUGGUACGCGAGCUGGGUUUAGAACGUCGUGAGACAGUUCGGUCCCUAUCUGCCGUGGGCGCUGGAGAACUGAGGGGGGCUGCUCCUAGUACGAGAGGACCGGAGUGGACGCAUCACUGGUGUUCGGGUUGUCAUGCCAAUGGCACUGCCCGGUAGCUAAAUGCGGAAGAGAUAAGUGCUGAAAGCAUCUAAGCACGAAACUUGCCCCGAGAUGAGUUCUCCCUGAGACUUUAAGUCUCCUGAAGGAACGUUGAAGACGACGACGUUGAUAGGCCGGGUGUGUAAGCGCAGCGAUGCGUUGAGCUAACCGGUACUAAUGAACCGUGAGGCUUAACCUUACAACGCCGAAG
rnacentral:rRNA from 1 species